rnacentral:rRNA from 1 species
CGCGUAGGUGGUCCUUCAAGUCAGAUGUUAAAUCUCCCGGCUCAACUGGGAGCUGUCAAUUGAUACUGCUGGACUCGAGGAUGGUAGAGGGAGGCGGAAUUCCCGGUGUAGUGGUGAAAUGCGUAGAUAUCGGGAGGAACACCAGUGGCGAAAGCGGCCUCCUAGGCCAUUCCUGACACUGAGGCGCGGAAGCGUGGGGAGCGAACAGGAUCAGAUACCCUGGUAGUCCACGCCCUAAACUGUGAAAACUAGGUACAGGGAGUAUCGACCCUUCCUGCGCCGUAGCUAACGCGUUAAGUUUUCCGCCUGGGGACUACGGUCGCAAGACUAAA